UUAGGGUCAGGUGGCCAACAGUGAACCAGUGGGACACAGUGACCCACCACUCAUAUCUCGUAAACGCGACGUUGCCAUUCCGUGCUACGAACAUGAUUAAACCUGUUUGUAGCCACGAUAGUUAUUCCCCAGUCGACGGCGCGCUUCCGCCAAAAAACAGUCGCGCUGUGAGGUGUUUUGUGUUUUGCGCCAAAAAAAGUUGAAAGAAUGGGUCGAACAAAGAAGCUAGAAAGAAAAAUUGGGGGACAUAGUGCACAAGAUAUGCAGAAAGCUAUCCAACUUGUAAAAGAUAUUGAUUAAAAUAAUUGAAGACUGUUUAAAAUUAAGUUUAUUUUACGAUGGAUCUCAUAGAGUAAGUUUUAUAAUAAUUAUUAAAACUUGCUCAAGUCUAAAAAACUCGUUGAUUGUUAAAGUUUAUUUGAUAUUGUUAUAAAUAAAACUAAUGUUGACUACAAAAAUCUAAAUAAGAAGAAGUAAAUAAAAAUAUGACUCUUUAUACUUUUAUAACGCCUACUUUGUAUACAUUUAUAGUAUUAGACACUUUGGUGAAUAAAGUUCAUUUCAUAUU